GCUGCCCACCAAGCAUCUCUGUGUCUUCUUCUUCCAGCUCCCUUGGAGUGAGAGCAGCUAAAAGGAAAGAAAUGUUCUAAGCAGACCAAUAAAUUAAGGAUGUGGCACCGCAUGAAGCAGGAGAACAAAUAUAUCUGGAUCCGAGGAAGAGAAUAAUCUUUGGAAACCACCUGAAUUUCCAGGAAUACCUCACAGUAUCUGUCUGAUGGAAGUUGCAUUACAGAACCUCUGAGCCCCUGCACAAAGACAACAUAAUUUACACCAGCAUAAGUUCAGCUGUAGCCAUGGUGUCAUCAAGCAAGCCUGGAAUUAGAGAACUUACAGAGCAACAACAAUUACCCUUAUUGAAAGGAAAUGUCACUCAAGAGUUUUAAGAGAAAACAGCUCAGAUAAUACCUCAAAAAAAGAAACUAAAGAAGGUAUUAUACAUUUGCAACCACUCAUACAAAUGAUUAAAGAAGAAUAGGAUGGAGAUACUGAUUCAAUAAAUGUACACUUUACAGCAUGAAUUCUCUUGAUUCACCUAUGGUUAAUUAAUUCAUAAGA